AGAGUUUGAUCCUGGCUCAGGACGAACGCUGGCGGCGUGCCUAAUACAUGCAAGUAGAACGCUGAAGAGAGGAGCUUGCUCUUCUUGGAUGAGUUGCGAACGGGUGAGUAACGCGUAGGUAACCUGCCUUGUAGCGGGGGAUAACUAUUGGAAACGAUAGCUAAUACCACAUAACAAUGGAUGACACAUGUCAUUUAUUUGAAAGGGGCAAUUGCUCCACUACAAGAUGGACCUGCGUUGUAUUAGCUAGUAGGUGAGGUAAUGGCUCACCUAGGCGACGAUACAUAGCCGACCUGAGAGGGUGAUCGGCCACACUGGGACUGAGACACGGCCCAGACUCCUACGGGAGGCAGCAGUAGGGAAUCUUCGGCAAUGGGGGCAACCCUGACCGAGCAACGCCGCGUGAGUGAAGAAGGUUUUCGGAUCGUAAAGCUCUGUUGUAAGUCAAGAACGGGUGUGAGAGUGGAAAGUUCACACUGUGACGGUAGCUUACCAGAAAGGGACGGCUAACUACGUGCCAGCAGCCGCGGUAAUACGUAGGUCCCGAGCGUUGUCCGGAUUUAUUGGGCGUAAAGCGAGCGCAGGCGGUUUGAUAAGUCUGAAGUUAAAGGCUGUGGCUCAACCAUAGUUCGCUUUGGAAACUGUCAAACUUGAGUGCAGAAGGGGAGAGUGGAAUUCCAUGUGUAGCGGUGAAAUGCGUAGAUAUAUGGAGGAACACCGGUGGCGAAAGCGGCUCUCUGGUCUGUAACUGACGCUGAGGCUCGAAAGCGUGGGGAGCGAACAGGAUUAGAUACCCUGGUAGUCCACGCCGUAAACGAUGAGUGCUAGGUGUUGGAUCCUUUCCGGGAUUCAGUGCCGCAGCUAACGCAUUAAGCACUCCGCCUGGGGAGUACGACCGCAAGGUUGAAACUCAAAGGAAUUGACGGGGGCCCGCACAAGCGGUGGAGCAUGUGGUUUAAUUCGAAGCAACGCGAAGAACCUUACCAGGUCUUGACAUCCCGAUGCUAUUUCUAGAGAUAGAAAGUUACUUCGGUACAUCGGUGACAGGUGGUGCAUGGUUGUCGUCAGCUCGUGUCGUGAGAUGUUGGGUUAAGUCCCGCAACGAGCGCAACCCCUAUUGUUAGUUGCCAUCAUUCAGUUGGGCACUCUAGCGAGACUGCCGGUAAUAAACCGGAGGAAGGUGGGGAUGACGUCAAAUCAUCAUGCCCCUUAUGACCUGGGCUACACACGUGCUACAAUGGUUGGUACAACGAGUUGCGAGUCGGUGACGGCGAGCUAAUCUCUUAAAGCCAAUCUCAGUUCGGAUUGUAGGCUGCAACUCGCCUACAUGAAGUCGGAAUCGCUAGUAAUCGCGGAUCAGCACGCCGCGGUGAAUACGUUCCCGGGCCUUGUACACACCGCCCGUCACACCACGAGAGUUUGUAACACCCGAAGUCGGUGAGGUAACCUUUUGGAGCCAGCCGCCUAAGGUGGGACAGAUGAUUGGGGUGAAGUCGUAACAAGGUA
rnacentral:rRNA from 1 species